rnacentral:rRNA from 1 species
CCUACGGGGGGCAGCAGUGGGGAAUAUUGGGCAAUGGGCGCAAGCCUGACCCAGCAACGCCGCGUGAAGGAAGAAGGCUUUCGGGUUGUAAACUUCUUUUCUCAGGGACGAAGCAAGUGACGGUACCUGAGGAUUAAGCCACGGCUAACUACGUGCCAGCAGCCGCGGUAUUACGGAGGUGGCAAGCGUUAUUCGGAUUUACUGGGUGUAAGGGGCGUGUAGGCGGGACUGCAAGUCAGAUGUGAAAACCAUGGGCUCAACCUAUGGCCUGCAUUUGAAACUGUAGUUCUUGAGUACUGGGGAGGCAGACGGAAUGCGUGGUGUAGCGGUGAAAUGCGUAGAUAUUAGGAAGAACACCAGUGGCGAAGGCGGUCUGCUGGACAGCAACUGACGCUGAGGCGCGAAAGCGUGGGGAGCGAACAGGAUUAGAUACCCGGGUAGUC